UUAACUCAAAUUUGUAUGCAGUUGGAACAGCGUCCCUAGCGGCAAACGUUCCAACUCAAUACAAAUUUGAGAUA
rnacentral:pre_miRNA from 1 species